CGCAGAGAUCGGGGCAGGGACCCCGGGAGGACCCGUCGUGGGGAGCGGGAUUGCCUGGGGGAGAGCCGAGCAAUGGGGGAGCUGGGGGGAUCCCCCCGGGAUAGGUUGGGGGGCUAGGGGACCCGCCCCCCCCAUCACCGGUGCCUACGACAGCUCCCACCUGUCCCCCGUGUGUUUGGGGCUGGAGUUCGCUGUCCCAGCCCCCCUCGGUGUCCCUUGGCCCAGCGAGCGUCUCUGCUCUGGGGUCUGGCGCGGGUCAGGCCCGGCCCGGAGGUGGGUGCUGGCUCAGCGCUGGCCCGGCUCCCGGCUCCGAGGGGCUCUGAGCUCGGCCCGUCGGGGGGUGGCGAAGUGAUUGCCCAAAGCCCCCCUGCCCCACCUGGAAACCCGCCCAGGUGGGCUUGGUUCAAGCGCCCGGGGGUGUCAGAGCCAGGAGCCACCCCGGUUCCCCUGGCCGGCCCUGCACCCCUCAGCAGAGCGGGACAGAAAAUGUGACACGCUUCUCACGGGGAAUGAACUUUUUAAAAAUUUCCUGCAAACCUUUCCUGGCUUUUCAUCCCACAGCGGGAACCUGCCCUGCUGCUGGAGUUUCUUCUGGUCUCCGAAAUCAAAGAGUUUUAUUGACGACAGAAAGUUUGACCAUGUUUUAAAUGACAAAGUGGAAAAUUUAAA